rnacentral:rRNA from 1 species
GCAGUCGNACGAGAGUUUUUAACUCAAGUGGCGGACGGGUGAGUAACACGUGAGAAUUUGCCUUUAGGAGGGGGAUAACAGAGUGAAAACGCUGCUAAUACCCCAUAUGCUUUCGAGUGAAAUGGAUUUAUUCGCCUAAAGAGAAGCUCGCGGCUGAUUAGCUUGUUGGUAAGGUAAUGGCUUACCAAGGCGACGAUCAGUAUCUGGUUUGAGAGGACGAUCAGACACACUGGAACUGAGACACGGUCCAGACUCCUACGGGAGGCAGCAGUGGGGAAUUUUCCGCAAUGGGCGAAAGCCUGACGGAGCAAUACCGCGUGAGGGAUGACGGCCUAUGGGUUGUGAACCUCUUUUCUCAGGGAGGAAAUCAAUGACGUUACCUGAGGAAUAAGCAUCGGCUAACUCCGUGCCAGCAGCCGCGGUAAGACGGAGGAUGCAAGUGUUAUCCGGAAUCACUGGGCGUAAAGCGUCUGUAGGUGGCUUAACAAGUCAACUGUUAAAUCUUGAAGCUCAACUUCGAAAUCGCAGUCGAAACUGUUAGGCUAGAGUAUAGUAGGGGUAAAGGGAAUUUCCAGUGGAGCGGUGAAAUGCGUAGAGAUUGGAAAGAACACCGAUGGCGAAGGCACUUUACUGGGCUAUUACUGACACUCAGAGACGAAAGCUAGGGUAGCAAAUGGGAUUAGAUACCCCAGUAGUCCUAGCCGUAAACAAUGGAUACUAGAUGUUGGGCAGAUCGACCUGUUCAGUAUUAAAGCUAACGCGUUAAGUAUCCCGCCUGGGAAGUAUGCGCGCAAGCGUGAAACUCAAAGGAAUUG